rnacentral:rRNA from 1 species
UGGGGAAUAUUGCACAAUGGAGGGAACUCUGAUGCAGCGACGCCGCGUGAACGAAGAAGGCUUUCGAGUCGUAAAGUUCUUUUAUAUGGGAAGAUAAUGACGGUACCAUAAGAAAAAGCCCCGGCUAACUACGUGCCAGCAGCCGCGGUAAUACGUAGGGGGCUAGCGUUGUCCGGAAUCACUGGGCGUAAAGGGUUCGCAGGCGGAAAUGCAAGUCAGGUGUAAAAGGCAGUAGCUUAACUACUGUAAGCAUUUGAAACUGCAUAUCUUGAGAAGAGUAGAGGUAAGUGGAAUUUUUAGUGUAGCGGUGAAAUGCGUAGAUAUUAAAAAGAAUACCGGUGGCGAAGGCGACGUACUGGGCUCAUUCUGGCGCUGAGGAACGAAAGCGUGGGUAGCAAACAGG